UACGGAGGGUGCAAGCGUUAUCCGGAUUCACUGGGUUUAAAGGGUGCGUAGGCGGGCAGGUAAGUCAGUGGUGAAAUCUCCGAGCUUAACUCGGAAACUGCCAUUGAUACUAUUUGUCUUGAAUAUUGUGGAGGUAAGCGGAAUAUGUCAUGUAGCGGUGAAAUGCUUAGAUAUGACAUAGAACACCAAUUGCGAAGGCAGCUUACUACACAAUGAUUGACGCUGAGGCACGAAGGCGUGGGGAUCAAACAGG
rnacentral:rRNA from 1 species